GCCAGGGUCAGUGGCUCAUACCUGUAAUCCCAGCGACUUGGGAGGCUGAGGCAGGAGAUCACCAGAGUUUGAGACCAGCCUCGGCAAUUUAGUGAAAUCCUGUCUCAA
rnacentral:sRNA from 1 species